rnacentral:sRNA from 1 species
AGGAGUCGGUUCGCGCAGGUGCAGCGCCUCGGUCCCCAUGGCGCUGUGGCGCGGCUCCGCGUACGCGGGCUUCCUGGCGCUGGCCGUGGGCUGCGUCUUCCUGCUGGAGCCAGAGCUGCCAGGCUCGGCGCUGCGCUCUCUCUGGAGCUCGCUGUGUCUGGGGCCCGCGCCUGCGCCCCCGGGACCCGUCUCCCCCGAGGGCCGGUUGGCGGCCACCUGGGACGCGCUUAUCGUGCGGCCAGUCCGGCGCUGGCGCCGCGUGGCAGUGGGGUUCUUCUUUGCGGUCCAGUUGGUCCAAAGCUACAUGAGCUUCUUGAUGACAAUGUCUUUGUUCCAUCAGAGUCAUUGCAGGAAGUGGAUGAGUUCCACCUCAUUUUAGAGUAUCAAGCAGGUAAGGAAACGAGUAAGUAAUGGUGGCAAGACCAGUCAAGGGACUGUGUAUUGUCAGAUUGGGGUGUGACCAUGCCAGAAAUUUAUCUUUGUAAAUUAGCAGGAUCCUGUUUUUGCCAUACUGAAAGUUUCCUGACCUAUUGGUUCUACUGAGCUGAUACUGGCCAUUGUCUCAAGGGAGACUG